rnacentral:rRNA from 1 species
UACGAAGGGAGCUAGCGUUGUUCGGAAUCACUGGGCGUAAAGCGCACGUAGGCGGAUGUGUCAGUCAGGGGUGAAAUCCCGGAGCUCAACUUCGGAACUGCCUUUGAUACAGCACGUCUUGAGUCCGAUAGAGGUGGGUGGAAUUCCUGGUGUAGCGGUGAAAUGCGCAGAUAUCAGGAAGAACACCCGUGGCGAAGGCGGCUCUCUGGUACGUGACUGACGCUGAGACGCGAAAGCGUGGGGAGCAAACAGG